rnacentral:rRNA from 1 species
AGUGAACGCUGGCGGUAGGCCUAACACAUGCAAGUCGAACGGCAGCACAGUAAGAGCUUGCUCUUACGGGUGGCGAGUGGCGGACGGGUGAGGAAUACAUCGGAAUCUACUUUUUCGUGGGGGAUAACGUAGGGAAACUUACGCUAAUACCGCAUACGACCUACGGGUGAAAGCAGGGGAUCUUCGGACCUUGCGCGAUUGAAUGAGCCGAUGUCGGAUUAGCUAGUUGGCGGGGUAAAGGCCCACCAAGGCGACGAUCCGUAGCUGGUCUGAGAGGAUGAUCAGCCACACUGGAACUGAGACACGGUCCAGACUCCUACGGGAGGCAGCAGUGGGGAAUAUUGGACAAUGGGCGUAAGCCUGACCCAGCCAUACCGCGUGGGUGAAGAAGGCCUUCGGGUUGUAAAGCCUUUUUGUUGGGAAAGAAAAGCAGCAGGUUAAUACCCCGCUGUUCUGACGGUACCCAAAGAAUAAGCACCGGCUAACUUCGUG